AGGCAAAAGAGGGUAUCUGUGGUGCUUAAGGGGUAUGGCUCUUUGCUGUCUGUGCAACGGCUGAGGUGGGGGAUGGGAUGGCCAUACAGCUGUCCACUCUCUUCUCUGACCAUUCUGGAUCUCACAGAGAUGUUCUCAGUGGGGGCAGGGAGUGGGGAGGCCAGCCUCAGCCACUGCUGCAUCAGAUGUCACCAGGGCAGUGCCCAGUCCAGAGGUCACCACACUGCCAUCACAGUUCCUCCCCAGGCCUCCUUGUCUGCCCAGCUCCCUCCCUCCCCUCCCUUUCCAGGAAGAGGAUUGGCUUGGGACCAGUUAAUUGAAGGGCAGUCACUCAACAAAUAUGUGAUGACAUAUUUUUAAUGGCUGAUGUGUGCCCCUGACCCUGACCCUGCAGAUCUGCUUUAUUUGUGUGUCCCUCCAUAAAUCUUCCAAAGGCAGGACCUGACUGCUGCCCUGUCCUUUGUCCUGGAGCUGACCAUCGCCUUCUAGGGGAUGUCAGCUGCUGGGGUAGUCUCUGUGCCAAGAGGACGGAGCCAUGAGUGGGGCAAACCUGGAAAAUUCCCCAGAGGAGCAGCUGCCACCUGCCUUGCAAGGGGCACACUCACAUCUUGCCCGGGCAGCCUGUGGAAAGAGGGCUUCUCCAGAGAUAGUUUUCCAACUUGGGUCCAGGCACCUGUAACUGGACAUCUGGGACCUGUGAGGUACCUGGCCUAGGCUCCGGAACAAAAGAGCCUCAAGCUGUCACCCUGGGUAGAGUGCCAUGGCAUCACAGCUCACAGUGACCUUCAACUCCUGGGCUCAAGCAAUUCUCCUGCCUCCACCUCUCAAGUAGCUGGGAUUACAGGUGCCCGCCACAACACCCGUCCAUCUUUUGGUUGCAGCCGUCAUUGUUAUUUGGCGGGCCCGGGUUGGAUUCGAACCUGCCAGCUCAGGUGUAUGUGGCUGGUGCCCCAGAGGCUUGAGCCACAGGCACCGAGCCGAGAAUCAGUUUUUUUUUUUUGUUGUUGUUGCAAUUUGGCCAGGGCCGGGUUUGAACCCAUCACCCUCAGUAUAUGGAGCUGGCGCCCUACCCACUGAGCCACAGGUGCCACCCGAGAAUCAAUUUUUGUUCACAUCUUUUAUGUUUACCCGGAUGGAGCUUGAACAUAUUCUUCUUAGUAAAGAAUCUCAAGAAUGGAAAAAAAGUAUCCAAUACACUCAAUACUACUAUGAAAUCAAUAUAUAAUCACCUACACACUCAUACGAAUGGCAAAACAUGACUAUAGUCCAGAAAGUAGAAGGGAAGAGGAGAGAAAAGGGAAGGGAGAGGGGAUCUGGGAGAAGGGAGGGCAUUUGGGGGGAUCUCACCUAAUGUGCAUGAUACAAUGGUACAUUUCAAAACUGUUAAGAACUGAGUAUAAUUGUGAUGGAUGUGUUACUUAAUGUUCAAUGUAAGCAUUUCACAUUGUAUAUUGAAGCAGUACCCUGAACCCCAUAAAUGCAUCAAUGUACAAAGUUAUGAUUUAAUA